AGGUCCCAAGGGUUGGGCUGUUCGCCCAUUAAAGCGGUACGCGAGCUGGGUUUAGAACGUCGUGAGACAGUUCGGUCCCUAUCCUCUGUAGCCGAAGGUAAUUUGAGGAGAUCUGUCCCUAGUACGAGAGGACCGGGAUGGACGUAGCUCUCGUGUGCCAGUUGUUCCGCCAGGAGCAUGGCUGGUUAGCGACCUACGGAAUGGAUAACCGCUGAAAGCAUCUAAGUGGGAAGCCAGCUCCAAGAUUAGAUUACCCACCGGGUUAACCGGGUAAGGCCCGUGGCAGACCACCACGUUGAUAGGCCGGAAGUGUAAGCACAGCAAUGUGUUCAGCUGACCGGUACUAAUCGGCCGAGGGCUUGAUUUAAC
rnacentral:rRNA from 1 species